rnacentral:lncRNA from 1 species
AAGGAAAGAACAAAAAUUACUUCGACUUCGAUAAUGAAAAGAACACAAAACUGAUCUCCAAAUCUCCAGAAAAUUUCUAACCAACAAAACUGAUAAAUUUUUCAACAAAUCCUUUCUUGUGAUAUGGUGGAUGUAGGUGUGCUUUGUUUCGUCUUGGUUUUGCUGGAGCAAGCGACGACUUCUUCUACCUCUGAUCGGAGCUUCUAGAUAUGAGCUUCUCGUAGGCGCUCCGGCUUCUCUCCUCUCUGCAAAUCGACGGGCUGUGGUGGCCAAUACUCUCUCUUAAAAGUUGUUUGGUCUGGUGGCAUGUGAAGUGAAGGGAAAUAGUUCGCUUAUUGUGAGGUCGAUUUCAGAUCUGGAGAUCCUUGUUCAUGGCUGGAGACUAUGGUUUGCCUUUUUCUUCUGUGGUUUUCAUGUUGUACGUAUGGAGUGAUCUCAACACUGCCUCAUCCUCUAGCCUGUGUUUCGCUGUUGCUUGGGUGUGAGCUUUCCAACUCUGCUUCUCUAGUUAGUUGAAGUUUCGCUUAGGAACGGAUGUUCUUCUUAGGUAAGCUCUCGGGGCUUCCUUCUCUUGCCGUCGGUGUCCUCCCGGCUUUGUGUUCUCCAUAGUCUUAUUUAGGCUCUCAAUCCGUGGUUGCCAGUUAGUGCUUGGGAGUUUGAGGUUUUGUUGGGGUGGUUCUUUGGUGCUCUGUGGGUUGAAGUUCUCUGUUUUAAUGAUCCUUCCAGUUGUUGCUGUUGUGCUAUUUUGACCUUGCUGCUUCGCUAGAUUAGUCUGUUUCUUGGCUUGAAGGUUAAGCAAGUGGUGGUUUUAUCUUUGCUCGUUGAUGCAUGGAUCAUUGUCUUAGGUUCUUUGAUUUAUUGAUUUCUUUUUGACUCUGUCUUUGUGUCUCUUAGAGUUGUUUGGUUAUCUAGACUGAGCUUGCUUGUUAUGCUCUGUUUUUCAUGUCUUUCUAGUCUCCCAUUUGUGGGCUUUUAGACUCAGGGGAUGAGUUUCUUCUAUCCUCCUGCUUAGGGGUGUUCAAUCCGGAUAUCGGUUCGGUUUCGGUUCGGUUUUUUUCAGUUUUCGGUAUUUCGGUUAGUAAAAUAUGACUACCAUUCAAAAUCCAUAUUUACUUCGGUACGGUUCGGAUUAUAUACCGUCGGUUUUCGGUUUAUUCGGUUUUAUACCAAAAAACAUAAUUAUUUUGUUUGAGAUCAUAUUAUAUGAAUUUUAGAGUCAUAUUCUCAACACAAUCAUUUAUUAAAAAUAUAUUACAUGUUCAAAUAAAUGAACAAAAAAGUAAAAAUGCUUCUACCAUCAAAUAAAAUAAUCAAUUCGAUAACUAAAAUCAAAAUUUGAAAUUUUGAAAAUAAAAAUAUGAAACAAAAUAGAAACAUGAAAGAAAAGUUUUUUCACUCUUCUAUAUUUAGUGUUCAUUAAAGUCAUGCUUUUUUAAUUGAAAAUUUUCCAUUAAUUAUUGUCCCUCAAAUUUAUAAUCUUCAUAUUAAUUUAGUAAAGACUAAAAUAAAGUAAAAAUAUCAAAAAAGACUUAGAAAAUAAAAUGUCUGAAUUGCGAUGUAUUGUUAUUUAGUUAUAUUUCAAAUGUUUUACAAAUUAAGGUUUUUUAUUACUAUAAAAUUAUGGUAAUAGUUAUUAACACAAAUUUACAUGUAUUGUUAUAAAAUAGAUACAUAUUUACAUGUUUCUACUUUUAAUCGGUUUUGUUCGGUUUAUUCGGUUUAAUCGGUUAUAUACCAAACCAUAUCCAAAUUCUACGGUUUUUAUAAAAUUAUAUCCAUUCGGUUUAUAUGGUAUAUACCAAAACCAAACCAUAUUGUCUAUUUCGGUUCUGUUCGGUUCGGUACGGUUCGGUUUUACAUAUUGAACAGCCCUACUCCUGCUGUAUGUCUCUCGAUCUUGUAUUCCUCAUUGAUAUGGUAACGAAAAUUAAUUUUCAGUGUGAAAAAAAAAUUGAUAAUUAAUCAAGUAUUGUUUAUUUAUUCAAAUGGUUGUUAAGUAAAUUUUAAGAUGUUGAUAUUUUGUGUCAUGAAAUUUUUCUGUUUAUGUUUAGGUCAACAUGCAAAAUAAACGGUUUAAAAUGUGGUGGAGAUAUAUGACACCUAUCUAUUUACCCACUUGCUUUUGAACCUAUCAUACGUCUAACCCAAAGGAAUCUCUUAUCUUCUCAAGUAGCCGGUAGCAGGACUACCCUAAUAGGCUUGUCAGAUCUUGUCGAGGCCAUAAGAGUUAUUUUACGAUGAUGAAUUUUCAUGUUCGCAAAUUAAUAAAAAUAAAUGCACACUUGUGCAAUUUCCUUUCUCAAUUUGUAUAUUGAGCUAAUUGACCCUAA